ensembl:rRNA 5S_rRNA 5S ribosomal RNA
AGCUGCAGCUCACCCAUGCUAAGCAGCAUUGGGCUGUGUCGGUAUUUGGAUGGGAGACUCUCAAGGAAGAGUCAAGUGCUGUGGGAA